AGUUUUGCAUGUUUGCUGUCGGC
rnacentral:miRNA from 1 species